rnacentral:lncRNA from 1 species
CAGGCUUGUAAGUUAAAAAACGAAUAAGAAAUAUCAGUUUUAGUUGGAAAGUUGUGUUUGCGCGCUCCAUGAAGACAUUACGCACCUAUUGAACAUACUUCUUUUGGAAAGAAGUAUUAUAGUUUGAUUACAUUUUAGGGUAUCUGAGGAGUAAAUAGAAACAUAUUUUGACUUGUUGAAACAAAGUUUAGGGGUAGAUUUUCAGAUUCCUUUCUCUGCAAGUUGAAUGAGUGGAUUACUCAAAUCGAUGGCACCAACUAAAUGGACUUUUUGGGAUAUAAAGAAGGAUUUUAUCUAACAAAACGACACUACAUGUUAUAGCUUGGACCCUUUGGAUGACAAAUCAGAGGAAGAUUUUCAAAAGCCUCUCUUGUGAAGCUCUUGAAAGAGAAGCACUUCAAUGAAUGUAGUCUGACAGAGACAGGGCUUGACACCAUAUGUCUUCAAAAGGCAGCAGCAGCGGGAAUUUCACGGCAAGGUGGCUUUGUCAGUGAAGGUCGGCCGUGGCGAUCUGGCCUUGGCUGGGCUUCCGUACGAUGGGAAUGAAAACACUCCGUGGCAGUCUGUGCAAAGUGGCAUGGGAAAGCAGAGGUUAAUGACGACAUACAAGUCUCUGAGUCUGAGUGGUGAUGGUGUAUGCCCAGACUGGGGUGCAACAGUACCCUGAGUAGGCACUCUGGCUGGUUCAGGACUUGAGCCCUAGGACCAUGCCUCAGGACUACCUGGCUUGAUGACUCCUUGCUGUCCCCAGUUCACCUGGCCGUGCUGCUGCUCCAGUUCCAACUGUUCUGCCUGCAGCUAUGGAACCCUGACCUGUUCGCCGGACGUGCUACCUGUCCCAGACCUGUUGUCCCAGACCUGCUGGAACCCUGACCUAUUCACCGGACGUGCUACCUGUCCCAGACCUGCUGUUUUCAACUCUCUAGAGACAGCAGGAGCGGUAGAGAUACUCUCAAAGAUCGGCUAUGAAAAAGCCAACUGACACUUACUCUUGUGUUACUGACUUGUUGCACCCUCGACAACUACUAUGAUUAUUAUUAUUUGACAAUGCUGGUCAUUUAUGAACAUUUGAACAUCUAGGCUAUGUGCUGUUAUAAUCUCCACCCGGCACAGCCAGAAGAGGACUGGCCACCCCUCAUAGCCUGGUUCCUCUCUAGGUUUCUUCCUAGGUUUUGGCCUUUCUAGGGAGUUUUUCCUAGCCACCGUGCUUCUACACCUGCAUUGCUUGCUGUUUGGGGUUUUAGGCUGGGUUUCUGUACAGCACUUUGUGAUAUCAGCUGAUGUAAGAAGGGCUAUAUAAAUACAUUUGAUUUGAUUUGAUUUGAAUACAUGUUAGAAUCACUUUGUAACGAUCGUCUGGAAGAGGGGACCAAGAUGCAGCGUGGUAAGUGGUCAUAAUGAUUUUUAAUGAUACACUUCAAAAAAUAAACUGGGAAAAUGAAAGCCAACAGUUCUGUCGGUGCAAACCACACAACAGAAACAAUCACCCACAAAACCCAAAGGAAAAAUAGGCUACUUAUGUGUGACUCCCAAUCAGCAACAAUGAACUUCAGCUGUGCCUGAUUGGGAGCCACACACGGCCCAAAACAAAGAAAUACAAAAACAUAGAAAAUAUAACACCCUGGCCUAACCAAAAAUAAAGAACAAAAACCCCUCUCUAUGGCCAGCGCAUUACAGUACCCCCCCACCAAAGGUGCGGACUCUGGCCGCAAAACCUGACUCUGAAGGGGAGGUUCCGGGUGGGCCUUCUUACGGCGGCGGCUCAGGUGCAGGACGUGGCCUCCACUCCACC